CAUGUACUCCCUCCGUUUCAUAAUUCUUGUCUCAAAUUUGCCCAAAAAUGGAUGCAUCUAUUCCUAAAAAGCGUCUAGAUACAUGUAAUAUUUCGACAAGAAUUAUGGAACGGAGGGAGUAUAUG
rnacentral:pre_miRNA from 1 species